rnacentral:tRNA from 1 species
AUUUUCCUAGUAUAAAGUACAAGUGACUUCCAAUCACUAAGUCUCGGCUAAACCCCGAGGGAAAAUA